rnacentral:rRNA from 1 species
UACGGAGGGGUUAGCGUUGUUCGGAAUGACUGGGCGUAAAGCGCGCGUAGGCGGAUCAGGAAGUUGGGGUGAAAUCCCGGGGCUCAACCCCGGAAUGGCCUUCAAAACUCCUGGUCUUGAGUUCGAGAGAGGUGAGUGGAAUUCCGAGUGUAGAGGUGAAAUUCGUAGAUAUUCGCAAGAACACCAGUGGCGAAGGCGGCUUACUGGUCCGGUUCUGACGCUGAGGCGCGAAAGCGUGGGGAGCGAACAGG